rnacentral:rRNA from 1 species
UUGUGAACAUACCUAUAACUGUUGCUUCGGCGGGUAGGGUCUCCGCGACCCUCCCGGCCUCCCGCCCCCGGGCGGGUCGGCGCCCGCCGGAGGAUAACCAAACUCUGAUUUAACGACGUUUCUUCUGAGUGGUACAAGCAAAUAAUCAAAACUUUUAACAACGGAUCUCUUGGUUCUGGCAUCGAUGAAGAACGCAGCGAAAUGCGAUAAGUAAUGUGAAUUGCAGAAUUCAGUGAAUCAUCGAAUCUUUGAACGCACAUUGCGCCCGCCAGCAUUCUGGCGGGCAUGCCUGUUCGAGCGUCAUUUCAACCCUCAAGCUCUGCUUGGUGUUGGGGCCCUACAGCUGAUGUAGGCCCUCAAAGGUAGUGGCGGACCCUCCCGGAGCCUCCUUUGCGUAGUAACUUUACGUCUCGCACUGGGAUCCGGAGGGACUCUUGCCGUAAAACCCCCAAUUUUCCAAAGGUUGACCUCGGAUCAGGUAGGAAUACCCGCUGAACUUAAGCAUAUCAAUAAGCGGAGGAAAAGAAACCAACAGGGAUUGCCUCAGUAACGGCGAGUGAAGCGGCAACAGCUCAAAUUUGAAAUCUGGCCCUAGGCCCGAGUUGUAAUUUGCAGAGGAUGCUUUUGGUGCGGUG